rnacentral:lncRNA from 1 species
GCUGCACCUGUUGUCACCUCAGGUUCACCGAAGAUGAUUUCCUCUGCGGCUCUGCCACCAAGUCCACCAACAAUUCUUGCAAAGAGUUGUUGCUUGGAGAUCAAGGUAGGGUCAUCUGAAGGAAUGAACCAGGUAAGACCGCGUGCCUGGCCACGUGGAAUCAAGGUGACUUUUUGAACAGGAUCGUGACCCGGUGUCAAAGUUCUGAGACAUGAAGGUAUCACAAUCGUAAGUUUCUUAAACAGUCAUUCUAAAAUAAAGACGACAGUAUUAACAGAUAAAAACGAACAAGCAUGCAUAAUGAGAGUUGAAGACGUUAUUUGAGGUAUGAAACACGAAAAGUAAAUUAAGAUGCUCUUAUUUCACUCACCCGCAAAUGGCAUGGCCGACCUCGUGGUAUGCAACCAAGCUUUUGCUCUUUCCAUCAGUCAUAACUGUUCCUUCCAUUCCAGCCACGAUCCUAUCAAUUGAAUCAUCGAUUUCUUUAGAUGAAAUUGCGGUCUUGCCACGCCGACCAGCCAAUAUAGCAGCUUCGUUUAAUAGAUUUGCUAGAUCUGCUCCACUAAAACCAGGCGUUCUCAUGGCUAUAACAUCAAAUGAUACAUCAGUUUCAAACUUCUUGUUGCUACCAUGAACCUUUAGUAUCUCAGUUCUGCCUCUGAUAUCC